rnacentral:rRNA from 1 species
UACGGAGGGGGCAAGCGUUGUCCGGACUUACUGGGCGUAAAGGGUGCGUAGGCGGUUGCAUGCGUCCGCGCUGAAAUCCCGAGGCUCAACCUCGGGGCGCGUGCGGAUACGAUGCGACUUGAGGCUCGGAGAGGGUGGGAGAACUCCUGGUGUAGUGGUGAAAUGCGUAGAGAUCAUGAGGAAGACCAGUGGCGAAGGCGGGUCUCUGGACAGUUCCUGACACUGAGGCACGAAGGCCAGGGGAGCAAACGGG